ACUCCUACGGGAGGCAGCAGUGAGGAAUAUUGGACAAUGGGCGCAAGCCUGAUCCAGCCAUGCCGCGUGCAGGAUGACGGUCCUAUGGAUUGUAAACUGCUUUUGUACGAGAAGAAACACUCCUAUGUAUAGGAGCUUGACGGUAUCGUAAGAAUAAGGAUCGGCUAACUCCGUGCCAGCAGCCGCGGUAAU
rnacentral:rRNA from 1 species